rnacentral:rRNA from 1 species
AACGAACGCUGGCGGCAGGCUUAACACAUGCAAGUCGAGCGCCCCGCAAGGGGAGCGGCAGACGGGUGAGUAACGCGUGGGAAUCUACCCAUCUCUACGGAACAACUCCGGGAAACAGGAGCUAAUACCGUAUACGUCCUUCGGGAGAAAGAUUUAUCGGAGAUGGAUGAGCCCGCGUUGGAUUAGCUAGUUGGUGGGGUAAUGGCCUACCAAGGCGACGAUCCAUAGCUGGUCUGAGAGGAUGAUCAGCCACACUGGGACUGAGACACGGCCCAGAUUCCUACGGGAGGCAGCAGUGGGGAAUAUUGGACAAUGGGCGCAAGCCUGAUCCAGCCAUGCCGCGUGAGUGAUGAAGGCCCUAGGGUUGUAAAGCUCUUUCAACGGUGAAGAUAAUGACGGUAACCGUAGAAGAAGCCCCGGCUAGCUUCGUGCCAGCCGCCGCAGUAACAC